rnacentral:rRNA from 1 species
CUACGGGUUGCUCCAGUGGGGAAUAUUGGACAAUGGGGGAAACCCUGAUCCAGCAAUGCCGCGUGUGUGAAGAAGGCCUGCGGGUUGUAAAGCACUUUCGGUUGGGAGGGCUGCUUCUAGCACUAAUAUUGUUGGAAGUUGACGUUACCUUCAGAAGAAGCACCGGCUAACUCCGUGCCAGCAGCCGCGGUAAUACGGAGGGUGCAAGCGUUAAUCGGAAUUACUGGGCGUAAAGCGCGCGUAGGCGGCUAGAUCAGUCGGGUGUGAAAGCCCCGGGCUUAACCUGGGAACUGCAUCCGAUACUGUCUAGCUUGAGUACAGGAGAGGAGAGUGGAAUUCCACAUGUAGCGGUGAAAUGCGUAGAUAUGUGGAGGAACACCAAUGGCGAAGGCAGCUCUCUGGCCUGAUACUGACGCUGAGGUGCGAAAGCGUGGGGAGCAGACAGGAUUAGAUACCCGAGUAGUC